UUCGGACAACUGUUUACACAUUAAAUUAAUUAAAUUCUUAGAACGAAUAUCUACGGCCAUACCUAGGCGAAAACACCAGUUCCCGUUCGAUCACUGCAGUUAAGCGUCUGAGGGCCUCGUUAGUACUAUGGUUGGAGACAACAUGGGAAUCCGGGGUGCUGUAGGUU